rnacentral:tRNA from 2 species
AUGAUUAGCUCAGUUGGUAGAGCAGCUGACUCUUAAUCAGCGGGUCGCAGGUUCGAUCCCUGCAUCAUC